CUCAGUUUCAAUAGAUUGACUGGAAAUCCUCCAGAACCAAAAAAAUAAAGAACUGGCAAUCUGUAUGGCGAACAACUUGCUAAAUGGAUCCAUCCCAGAAUGGAUCAUCAGAAGACCUAUAAAAAGUGCAAUCGAUAUUUCUUACAAUAAUUUUUCUGGAACUCCUGACCCAAGUUAUUGUCAACAAAAUCUGAAUUUGUUCAAAAGCAUAUCCGGAGGGAACAAUUCG
rnacentral:misc_RNA from 1 species